rnacentral:piRNA from 1 species
UGCCGUUAUGACGAAACUAGCUCUGUGAC